UUGUUGCUGUUGUUGUUGUUGGUGGUGGUGUUGGUGUUGUUGUUGUUGUUGUUGUUGUUGCUGUUGUUGUUGUUGUUGUUGUUGUUGUUGUUGUUGUUUGUUGUCGUUGUUAUCGCUAUUGUUGCUGUUGUCGGCGUUGUUGUUGUGUUGUUGUUGUUUUUGUUGUUGUUGCUGUUGUUGUUGUUGUUGUGGUUGUUGUUGUUGUUGUUGUUGUUGUUGUUGUCAUUGUUGCUGUGUUCUCAUCAUUGUCUAUGUUGUCGUCGUCGACAUCCUCGUUGUUGUUGUUGUUGUUGUUGUUGUUUUUGUUGUUGUUGUUGUUGUUGUUGUGGUUGUUGUUUUCGACGUCGUUGUUUUUCUUGUUGUUGCUGUUGUUGGUGGUGGUGGUGGUGUUAUUGUUGGCGUCGUCGUCGUCGAAGUCGUCGUCAUCCUCAUCCUCGUCAUCUUCAUUGUUCUCGUCAUUGUCGUUGUUUUUG
rnacentral:lncRNA from 1 species